UUGAACGCUGGCGGCAUGCUUUACACAUGCAAGUCGAACGGCAGCGGGGGCUUCGGCCUGCCGGCGAGUGGCGAACGGGUGAGUAAUGCAUCGGAACGUACCCAGUCGUGGGGGAUAACUACGCGAAAGCGUAGCUAAUACCGCAUACGCCCUGAGGGGGAAAGCGGGGGACCUUCGGGCCUCGCGCGAUUGGAGCGGCUGAUGUCGGAUUAGCUAGUUGGUGGGGUAAAGGCCUACCAAGGCGACGAUCCGUAGCUGGUGUGAGAGGAUGAUCAGCCACACUGGGACUGAGACACGGCCCAGACUCCUACGGGAGGCAGCAGUGGGGAAUUUUGGACAAUGGGCGCAAGCCUGAUCCAGCCAUGCCGCGUGAGUGAAGAAGGCCUUCGGGUUGUAAAGCUCUUUCAGACGGGAAGAAAUCGCAUCUCCUAAUAUGGGGUGUGGAUGACGGUACCGGAAGAAGAAGCACCGGCUAACUACGU
rnacentral:rRNA from 1 species